rnacentral:rRNA from 1 species
CUAUGGGCUAUGCACCGUCUAGGUUUGGGAUUUUUAUAUAUGGCGGCGACCCCGUCUCCACGGGAGGGUGUGUGCGCUGCCGUGUGUGCGUCCUUCCCCAAACACGGGGAGGUGGCGUACGCAUGGAUUUUUUGCGCCGCGCCCGUUUCUCCUCCUUCCUCUUCUACUUUUAGAAGGGGGAGAGGAGCCCGUGGGUGCCCAACCGUGCUGACAAACUGAACCAACGGAGUUGUUUCGGCAGCUCCGGAGUCUUGUUUCGAGACAUCUGCCAGAUGGGGAGUUUGGCUGGGGCGGCAUAUCUGUUACACGACAACGCAGGUGUCCUA